UUUUCAUCAAAGUAAAGUUCCUGUUUCUGAUUAGUACAAUGGGCUCCUUCAUAUAAAGUACAAACAUGCAUGUACAGGCAGAGAAGCGUGUCCCAGUAGCCGUCCAUCCUCCUCCGCCAGGUCCAUGAAUAAUGCAGAACUCCCAUUUUCAUGCCACUUCGCAUCCCCUUUCCUCCUCCUCCUCCUCCUGCUCCUGUGCUGUCGUAAAAAUAGAACCGUAGACCUGCAAGUUUUCACUCUGGUGUUUACACCAUCAUGACCCUCCCCACUGCUUUUUCUCCUGACAGUGGGAUUAUUAGUCUCAUUCAUCUCAGCCUGCUCCCCUUCUCUAUCCUCCACAGGAACCAGCGAGCAGAGACGAGGCAGACGGGUUUUGCCGGGCCAGGCCGGGAGAGGAGGGGAGGUCCUCAGCCCGUUGCUUAGUGACUCCUGUACCAUUUCCGGCCCACGCUCCAGUGGUUGGGGACCCGAGAUGUAAAGCCCAGGUUCCUCAGUGCUGAUGUGUUCAGGUCACACAUAUUCUGUUGAUCAUCAUUAUGCAUCGUUUAUCUGCAAAUCACUGUGCAGACAUCUUUCUUUUUCUUUUUUUUUUUCACCUACCGGUUUAUCCAGGAAGGAGUCAGAACUGAAAUGAAAUGUGCAUGCUUUAGUCUCUAGUCUCUUUUUUUUUUAAAAACAGACAGCACAAAGCAGGGAGAGCAUGAGGAAUGGACAUAUGGUGCUAUUUGAAAGGAUGACAGAACAAAAUCAAACUGUGUGAGACGAAAUUAGCUGAAACGUGCCGAUACAAGUGUUGCAGGGGAAUCAAAGCGCUGCUUUUUGAAUAUGAAGCAUAUCGCAGACGCUCUGCGCGACUGCUUUUUUUUUAUUACUUUUUUUUUUCUUUAACUAACCCUCCCUCCUCCUCUCCACCUCGCCCCUCCAUCCCCCCUGAGUUCCCUGCUGUCUCUAAAGCUUUUCAAAAAGCUUUUAGUUUGGCAUUUGAUUCUCUGCUCUCCUUUUUUCUUCCCCCCCCCCCCAAAAAAAUGUGUCGGGCUGUGUUUUUUUUCCCCUUCUUUUCUUCUCUUUCAUGCAGAGCACCUUGGCCACUGAAAGGGAGUGUUGGAGGGGUCCGCGGUUAUUGAAUGUGAAGCCGGAUGACAUGGAGAAGAGAGGACAUGCAAUGAAAAUGAAACAAGCAGACAUGAGGAGACAGGGAAAGCAAAGGUAAGAGGCAGAAGAUGGAAAGGGACAAAAAGAGAAGAUGAAAGAAGCAGGGGAGAGAGGAAACGGUGGAGAUGAGAGGAGAAAGAAGGUGAGAGAAAAAGGAAAGAGACAACAGAGAGAAAGAGAGAGGAAAAGAAGAAGAAACAUGAUGAAAUAAAAACACACAGACAAAAAAUAAAUAAAACAACAGGACUAGAGGACAAAAGGACAUUAAAUAGACAAGAAGUAAGAGAACCUGCAGCGUGGAAAAACGAACUGAGAGAUCCGAGGAAACAAGGUGAUGGGAUAACAGGGAGACGAAGAAGAUGAGUUCAGGGAGGAGAACAUAAAAGGGAAGGAGGGAAAAAAAACAAACAGAAACAUGCCUGUGAAAAGUGAGAAGAGUGUAUACCAGACCAGAAUGGGGUGGUGGGUGGAGGGGGAGGAGGAGAAGAAGAAGAAGAAGAAAAGAGAGAGGACAGGAGGAGGAUGAGAAACCAGUCGUUCUUUACCCAGGGGGAGGCACAGCGGGGGAUGGAGGGGCGUACGGGGGGGAGAUGGGCUCCUCAUCCCUCUCUCCCCCAACUGAGCCUCCUUCUUCAAGGUCAGACACACACACACACAUGCACAGAGGCAAGCAGUUCUGGCAGACAUGGUACACACCAGUACACACACCCACACACACACACAGUGGAGCUCAAGUAGAAAAGACGCCUUCUGCCUGCCUUUUUCUCUCUGACUCUGUGUACCAAGCAGCCAAGUCUCAGUCAACCAUCUGGAGAUAAAAAAAAACAUUCCUCCCGUACACACACACACACACAUACACGCACACAUAUGAAGUGUGUGUUUAUAAUAAUAGCCCAAAUGCCUCUAUUGAUUCUUUCUCUUCCUGCGUCUCUCUGCAUCUGCGUGUGUGUGUGUGUGCAUGUGAAAUCAGUUCUUAUCACUUCUACAUGAAGAACACUUUUCCUUUCUUACCUUAAAAUAUACAUUUGCCACUAAGCUCCAAGUUAGAGCUAUGAACAAUUUGGCAUCCCAAAUAUGCUGUGCAAAUUUAUCGCGGCUAUCAAUAUUAUCACAAUCUUAAUGGUAUUAAUUGAAAAUAUGCCAAAUGUUAUCCAUAUUGUCACUGCAGUUGCUGCUAGCCUAAGGGGUAGUAGUUGCAAGAGUAGUAAUGAUAUUUUUGUAUCUAUAUGUUCUAUGGAUUAAUACAUUUGACAUCUGUGCAUAUUUCAGUUUCGUUAUGUUUCUCCAACUAUUGUUAUGUUCUAGAAACACAUUGACAAAUAAAAAAAGUCUUGCGUCUUUUAUCUAUAGUCAUUUAAAUUUAUAUUCUGAACAACAACAUUCAGGUUAAUCAGCACAAGGUGACAUCACUUCCUGUGUCAUUUCUCAUUUCUAUCUGAAAUGGUAUAAAGUCCAGAACACCGCUAUGUUUAAGUAUUGUUGUAUUUAGUGGUAAAAGAUCUUCAUUUAGAUCUUUACUCCAUUUAAUAUCUGUUCAAUGGACAUUUAGUUUCUAUUACUGUGUCUUAUACUAGUAAGAUACAGUAUGUCACUUUAAAUCAGCAAUGUCACAUAAGUAUUCCUCCGUCUAUUCAUCUAGCUUUUUUUCCUUUUUUUCUGCAAAAUUAGUUACUGACUGGUGAAACACUUUUAUUCUGAACAGAAAAUGAUUCAAACACCUAGAAAAUCUGGCUAGACAGGUAAAGCCGUUGCUUGUCCCUGUUUCCUGUGAACGUGUCACCACACCUCCUGUGUUACUGAAACCGAGCAGCAGCUGGGGCUUUAAAAGGAGCGAAUAUUGAGACAUGGCACAAAACAAACAAAAACAGAGACUGCUCCCAGAAAAUGUCAAACGCGGACAUGUUGUAAGUACCAGGCUGGAUGUUUUAUCCCUCAAAAAAAAA